AAGAACAACUGUGAUAAAUGACACAUACCUGUCCAUAGAAUGUACUGCCCAGGGCUGGUUUUUGUCCUUUUGGUGCGGAGAGUGGUUUGGUGGUGGUUUGGGAGACUUGGACUGUGGUGAUAAUUUUGGACUUGGAUACUGGUGACAUUUUGGACUUGGAUUCUGGCAAAGGUUUGGACUUGGAUACUGGUGACGUUUUUGGACUCGAAUUCUGGUGAAGGUUUGGACUCAGAUAUUGGUGAACCUGCUUGAACUUUGACACGGGUUUCUCUGUAUAGCCCUGGCUUGGGGGUUGUGCUUUAUU
rnacentral:lncRNA from 1 species